rnacentral:tRNA from 1 species
GGCUUGAUAAGCACGGGACUGGAACCCGCCUA